ACGUAGAAAGUGGUUGGUAUAUUUUUUAGUGCCUACUAUUGGACUCCUGCAAGGCUGCAACAUUAUUGAUUGCUGCAAGCUUUUUUUUUUUUUGGGGUAGAAGAGAGGAGCUAAGCUGGAAUUAAAAGAACGAAAAUGGUUCACAGAUACACCAACCACCCCGGCUACAGAUGAUUGAACAGCCUUCAGACCUAAUGCACACAACAAAAUGGCUGUCCCUGAAGCAAAAGCCAGCACACC
rnacentral:lncRNA from 1 species